rnacentral:rRNA from 1 species
AGUGAACGCUGGCGGUAGGCCUAACACAUGUAAGUCGAACGGCAGCACAGGAGAGCUUGCUCUCUGGGUGGCGAGUGGCGGACGGGUGAGGAAUACAUCGGAAUCUACUCUGUCGUGGGGGAUAACGUAGGGAAACUUACGCUAAUACCGCAUACGACCUACGGGUGAAAGCAGGGGACCUUAGGGCCUUGCGCGAUUGACUGAGCCGAUGUCGGAUUAGCUAGUUGGCGGGGUAAAGGCCCACCAAGGCGACGAUCCGUAGCUGGUCUGAGAGGAUGAUCAGCCACACUGGAACUGAGACACGGUCCAGACUCCUACGUGAGGCAGCAGUGGGGAAUAUUGGACAAUGGGCGCAAGCCUGGUCCAGCCAUACCGCGUGGGUGAAGAAGGCCUUCGGGUUGUAAAGCCCUUUUGUUGGGAAAGAAAUCCAGCUGGCUAAUACCCGGUUGGGAUGACGGUACCCAAAGAAUAAGCACCGGCUAACUUCGUGCCAGCCGCCGCCGUAG